GCCACAAGGACUUGUCAGCGCCACCACCAAACCGUGCUAUAUUCAGUACGUGUUGUUUGAGGCCAAUCCAGUAAACGCUGAGACGACAGCAAAGAAGGUACUGAGCUAAGUAAAGGGAGUACUUAAUACGGAACAGACCUUAACUAGCACAUUCAGGCUAUGAAUUGUUUUUCAAGUUUAGUAAAUUAAGAUUUGUUAUUCUUGCAGUUAGGUCUUUAAAUUUCUUACCUGAUCAGUUGUAUUCAUCUAGCACUAGCCCCCUCCGCUGUCCAUCGCAGGAGUUCUUCUCGCCAUAGGGUUCCCGUGUUCUCUUAGAUCUUGGGACGCCUUAAGGUAUGACUACUGUUGGGAGUGCGGAGGGGGCCGUUGACGUGUAUCGUCACUCGGAAAGUUUCUCGUCUAGCAGUCAUGAUAUUCACAGUGAAGAGGACGAUGAUUACGAUACCCACAGUGUCUCAACUUCUCGUGGCCACAGUUUUGAAUCACGUCAUAGCAUUUUGUCCAUGAGCCGAAGUCGAAGUGGCAGCCAAAAUGGGCAUCAGAGCCUGAUCCAGAGUAGAAGUCCUAGCCGCUGCAGUAGCCCUACUGAUUCCAGAUCUUUCAUAGACAGCUCUUCCGGCUCCAGUGGUACCAGUAGCACAGAAAGUACAGAUACAGACCCGGAAGAAUAUCUUCCUUUCCCGGGGUUCGUGCCUGUAGCACUUCAUUGUCUGGAACAAACUUCUGUGCCCAGGAACUGGUGCCUGACGAUGAUUACAAAUCCGUGGUUCGAGAGGAUCAGUAUGAUGAUAAUUCUUCUCAACUGCAUUACGUUAGGCAUGUACCAGCCAUGUGUAGACGAGGCGUGUACUUCCAGUCGUUGUAAGACACUUCAGUUAUUUGAUCACUUAAUUUUUGUGUUUUUUGCCGUUGAAAUGAUCAUCAAGAUUGUGGCUAUGGGUCUUGUAGGUAAGACCACUUACUUGGCAGAAACUUGGAACAGACUGGAUAUGUUCAUUGUUAUAGCAGGGACUCUCGAAUACUGUUUGGAUGUUGGGAGUAUUAAUCUCUCGGCUAUCAGGACCAUUCGUGUCCUUCGCCCACUUCGAGCUAUCAACAGAAUACCUAGCAUGCGAAUCCUGGUCAUGCUCCUACUAGACACACUUCCUAUGUUAGGUAAUGUCCUACUAUUGUGUUUCUUCGUGUUCUUCAUAUUUGGAAUUGUAGGCGUUCAGUUAUGGGCAGGUCUUCUCAGACAGCGAUGUUUCAUGGAACAAUUUCCUCCUGAUAUAAAACUUCCGGGGUAUAUUUCUUCGUAUUAUGUUGAAAAAGUGAAAAUUGUUAACCCAGUGUCUUCUUAUUAUCAACGCCACGCAGCAGAAAAAGAUUAUAUAUGUAGCGUGGAGAAAGACAACGGAAUUCAUGGAUGUGACAACCUGCCUCAUUAUCAACAUCAAGGCAUGACGUGCAAUGCGUCUGCCGUGCCACAAAGCAAUAACACCCCCACCAAUACAUCGUGUGUAAACUGGAACCAGUACUAUAAGAUAUGCCGUGCUGGCGAUAAAAACCCUUUUCGUGGAGCCAUAUCAUUCGAUAAUAUCGGAUUAGCUUGGGUAGCUAUAUUUUUGGUAAUUAGCCUAGAAGGAUGGACAGAUAUAAUGUACUACAUCCAAGAUGCUCAUUCAUUUUGGGAUUGGAUAUAUUUUGUACUUCUUAUUGUGGUUGGCUCAUUCUUCAUGAUCAACCUCUGCUUGGUCGUGAUAGCAACGCAAUUCUCCGAAACAAAAAAGCGAGAAUUGGAGAGAAUGAGGCUAGAACGUGCAAGGUUUCAGUCAACAAGUACUCUCGCUAGCACCAGUGCAUCAGAACAGCCUCUUAGCUGCUAUACAGAAAUGGUUAAAUAUUUAGCCCAUCUCGGGCGUCGUGCAAGACGCAGAUUUUUACAGUGGUACAAACAAAUGCGUCGAAAACAUGGAAAAGAAGACCUGCCUCGUUCAAUUUCUUUACGAAGAAAACGUCAAAAGCCUCCUUGGCAGCCAGGACAAAGUACAUUAAAACGUCAAAAUCUUCCUUGGCAGCCAGAACAAAGUUCAUUAAAACGUCAAGGGUCUUCUCACGAUGUUUCAAACAACAAUAACUUUGAUUCCAUGACCUUCAAUCCAAUUUCAUGCGUUCACACAUCUCAAACUCCCGAACAUUCUGGUAUGUGGUCUCCUAAUGAAACAUGUGCAGCUCCAUGUGCUAGUCCUGAGGUUUCAGUUAUUGAUCCCACGUCAUCGCCGACAAGACCGGGCUUGCUCAAAGUUCCUAGCAGUGUAUGCAGUCCUGACAACUCUUCUGUCAGUGAUUGCCCACGAACUGUUGAAAAUCCAGAUUUCACUCCUUCAUCUAGAAAACCCCAGUCUUCCACCAGACAGGUGUCUCUUCAGGUUACUCGUCAACACUCUAGCGCCAGCGGUAAUAGUAAAACGUCUCAACUGACUUGUGCUGAGCUUCUUGCCUUUACUGGAGCUCAGGGCGCUGCACUAGCCGCCAGUCUAGCCAGUAACUAUGCUAUGCAGAGGUUCUACUCCAGCUUAAAAAAAGGACAGAAACAUUCUUCAGCUCCUGUUAUCCUCUGUGAACUGGAUAGGGAAAAAGAAAGUCACCAAAGUCGUUCAGAAUGUGGCUGGACUGACUCAGAAGGGGAGAUUGAUGAUGAAAGAAGCGUACGCAGGGGACCACUUAGUAGCUUUUUCUACUGGUGGAAGCCCCACAGGGCCAAGCUCAAAGGUUUUGUUGGCCACAAAUACUUUCAAAGAGGAAUUCUUACAGCAAUCUUGAUUAACACGCUCAGUAUGGGCAUAGAAUAUCAUAACCAACCGAAAGAACUUACUUUUGCAGUGGAGGUGUUUAAUUUGAUUCUAACUGGGAUCUUUGGUCUCGAAAUGUUGCUAAAAGUCCUAGCCGAAGGCGUCUUUGGUUAUAUAAGUAAUGGCUUCAAUGUUUUUGAUGGCGUUAUUGUGAUCCUUAGCAUUGUAGAACUCUGGCAAAGUAGUGGUAGCGGAUUGUCAGUUUUAAGAACAUUUCGUCUUCUUAGGAUAUUAAAGUUAGUCAGGUUCAUGCCAGCUCUUCGAAGACAACUUGUCAUAAUGUUGCGGACCAUGGACAACGUAGCUGUUUUCUUUUCCCUUCUCAUUCUUUUCAUAUUUAUUUUCAGUAUUCUAGGUAUGAACCUUUUUGGGUGUAAAUUUUGUGAAAAAGAUGAAGAUGGCACGAUGCAGUGUGAUCGGAAGAACUUUGAUUCCUUACUGUGGGCUAUAGUGACAGUAUUUCAGAUACUCACUCAAGAAGAUUGGAAUGUCGUACUUUUCAAUGGCAUGGAGAAAACAUCGCAUUGGGCUGCCUUGUAUUUUGUGGCUCUCAUGACUUUUGGAAAUUAUGUCCUGUUCAAUCUCCUUGUAGCAAUUCUAGUGGAGGGGUUUUCUACUGAAGAUGAUAAAAAGAAGAGUAGUGAAAAGCUCACAGAUGGAAGUGAAUCAAAGAAUCCCGAAGAUAACACAUCUGACAGUGACAGCUUUAAACCAACUAAUAAAAUCACAAAUGUCACCAUUUAUAAUGCUGACUUCAAGGACAAUAUUGAAAAAGAGACUAGAAUGUUGUCUAAUCCGCCUGUACUGGCUGUUACAAACAUUUGCAACUCGGAUACCAAACCAAGUGAGCUGCUGUGUUAUCCACCAAUAAUUACUCAUACGGCAGCCACACCACAAGGUUCCCCGAAUGCCACUCUGGAACCAUUGGUACGGGACUUAAAUAACAAGCUUUCCAACCUGAUGACACUUAACAUCAGUAACUCCUCUAUUGACUCCAUUGAUAAAUCACCAAUCCAAAGUUUAGUGGGUACGGCGCAACAAUCUCCAAGCCUUUCCCGUACUCACAGUAGAAACAAUGUAAAGUUGGCAUUGCCAUCUAGUGGAAUAAUUACGACUCUUCCAGAGAUUGACCACAGGUGUAGUCAGUUGCCAGUUCCUCCAGUUCGUCGCAGUAGUCUAUCACCAUCUUUUCUCAGCAGAAACGGGUCUUUAACUUGCUCACCCCAUCUUUGUCGGAAGGGGAGUCAAAGCAGUUCCGGUGGCUCUUUCAAAUUACGGAGACCUAGCAGCAUGUAUGGAUGGAAGGCAUGGCAGAAAAAGAAAUGUGAUAAAGAAAGUUUUGUUGAUUUAAAUACCGGUUUAGGCACAGAAAGUGAAGAAGUACGUCUAACCAAUAAGACAAUAGUUCAUCAAAAUAUUCCAGCAGUUGACCACACCCAUUGUAAUGGUGGCUUACCAGCACUGAGUAACAUCAUAAACUUCAAUCGACCAGUUCUGUCUAAACAAAAUAGUAUCAACAGCCAUAAAACUCUCAGCCCACAAAAUUCUAUUAAAAGUCAUUCCUCUCAUUCGCCGACUGACGACCCUGCAGAAUCUUUCAACAGUCAGCUUUUCGACAAUAGGCAAGCUUCCAUCAGCAUUAGUGUUCUCAGUCACAAUAUCCUUAGCCCCCAGCAGUCUUUUAACAGUCAUAGCUAUUUGUCUAGUCGGCAUAACUCACUCAGUGGCUCGUCUCUAAAGGAAGAAAUUAAGACAAACAACCUGACAGAUUUAUCGCCCGUUAAUCCUGAGAAUGAAGAACAUUCUUCUGAUAAAUAUUUCACUGGAAAGCUUUUCUGGCUGAUCGAACCUCAAGGUUGUUUAAAAGAACGUGAAGAUUAUUCAUUAUUUAUUUUCUCACCAGAAAAUUGGAUACGUAACUUUUGUGCGCAAGUUGCAGAUCACAAAAAGUUUGACUUUGGGAUACUAUUUUUUAUCACCCUCAACUGCAUUACUCUUGCGAUCGAGAGACCCAAUAUCCCACCAGAGAGUAUAGAAAGAGAAGUGCUAACAGCAGCCAACUACAUCUUCACGAUUGUUUUUGGUCUGGAAAUGGUAGUUAAAGUAAUAGCCAAAGGUUUGUGGUAUGGGGAGCAUGCAUAUCUAAAGAGUGGUUGGAAUAAAAUGGAUGGAAUCUUAGUUUCAAUCUCUUUGCUAGAUUUCGUAUUAUCUUUUCUUGCCGCUGGUAGUCCAAAAAUCUUUGGCAUACUUCGUGUCUUCCGUCUUCUUCGUUCUUUACGGCCACUCAGAGUGAUAAACAGAGCACCAGGACUAAAGUUAGUUGUCCAGACUCUGCUCUCAUCUCUUCGUCCGAUUGGCAACAUUGUUCUUAUCUGUUGUACUUUCUUCAUUAUAUUUGGAAUCCUGGGAGUUCAGCUGUUUAAAGGAAAACUCUACUACUGCGAUGGACCAAAUGUGAAAAACGUUAGCAACAAAACUGAAUGCUUGGCAGAUCCCCGUAACGAAUGGAUCAACCGUAAAUAUAACUUUGACAACUUAGGACAGGCUCUCAUGGCGCUCUUUGUUUUGUCCUCAAAGGAUGGCUGGGUUAACAUCAUGUACACUGGACUAGAUGCUGUUGAUGUCGACCAACAGCCCAUUGAGAACUACAAUGAAUGGCGGCUUAUUUAUUUCAUAUCAUUCCUCCUUCUUGUUGCCUUCUUUGUUCUCAACAUGUUCGUGGGAGUCGUAGUUGAAAACUUUCAUCGCUGUCGAGAAGAACAAGAGAAAGAAGAAAAGGCUCUUCGGGCUGAAAAACGAGCUCGCAAACUGGAGAAGAAGCGGCGAAAAAUGAGGGAACCACCAUAUUACAUCAACUUCUCCAAACCAAGGCUCUUCACCAAUAACAUUGUAACGAGCAAAUACUUUGACUUAGCUAUUGCAGCUGUUAUUGGUCUAAAUGUAGUUACCAUGGCCAUGGAAUUCUAUAUGAUGCCAACGGAACUCGUUUAUGCUCUGAAAAUAUUUAAUUACUUCUUCACUGCGGUAUUUAUUUUGGAAGCUAUCAUGAAAGCUGUUGCCUUGGGAGUCAGGAGAUAUCUCAUUGAUAAAUGGAAUCAACUUGAUGUUAUUAUCGUAAUUCUAUCUGUCGUUGGGAUAUUCCUCGAAGAGAUGGAGUCCAAGAUCAUCCCAAUAAACCCCACUAUCAUCCGUGUGAUGAGGGUUUUGAGAAUAGCAAGAGUAUUGAAACUACUAAAGAUGGCAAAGGGUAUCCGAGCUUUGUUGGACACUGUAAUGCAAGCGCUACCACAAGUGGGUAAUCUCGGACUCUUGUUUUUCCUCUUAUUUUUCAUCUUUGCUGCUCUUGGAGUGGAAUUAUUUGGUCGACUUGAAUGCAACGAUAAAUUCCCUUGUCAGGGUUUAGGAGAACAUGCACAUUUUCAUAACUUUGGAAUGGCUUUUCUAACAUUGUUUCGCAUUGCAACUGGUGAUAAUUGGAAUGGGAUUAUGAAGGACACCCUCCGCGACAACUGUGAUUCUUCUAGUGACUGUUUAACUAACUGCUGUGUGUCCCAACUCAUCGCUCCCUUAUACUUUGUAAUAUUUGUCUUGAUGGCUCAGUUUGUGCUGGUUAACGUGGUAGUAGCUGUUUUGAUGAAACAUUUAGAGGAGUCACACAAGCAGAUGGAUGAUGAUGCUGAUAUUGAUGUGGAAAUUGAAAAUGAGCUAGCAGCUGAAGCAAUUGCUGCACAACAAAUGGAAAUACUUGGGCAGGAAACCUAUAAAAAACGAUCCAAGGCUAAAACUACUGAGAUUAUACCUCAGAAGCCACUUGUCAAAGUUUCUUCUUUACCUGCAAAUUUCACAUUUACUUUCCAAGAAGAUGUUCAACUAAAUGAGGAAGGCAUGUCAAAUUGACUUUAUCGUAUUAGAAUACAGUAUUUCUAAAACGCAACGUUCACUCUUCAAAAACAAAGAGAAGCUUAAACUUCCCACCAGCGGCUAUAACCAUCCAGAUUUCAGAAUUUGGUGAGAGCAAAAAUUCAGGAAAUUUAGACGAAACUUGUUUCGUUGGUGCAGAAGUCGAAGAAGCUAGCUAGCUA
rnacentral:misc_RNA from 1 species